rnacentral:lncRNA from 1 species
AUUUUAAUCACAUAUAUAAAGAAGAAACGAUAAUUUAACUAAUUUCUAGCAUAUUUACAUGAUGAUAACAGUAACAUAACAUUCAUCUUGAAACAAAAUCAAAUCUAACAUGAUCCAUCAACCAAAUCGGGAUUAAAUCCUUCUUAUUAUCAUAAAUAAUCUGCAAUAUAAUAAUUUAAAUGUUACCUGAUUUGUAGAAUAAUAAAAUACAGUAGUGCAACAACAUAAAUUCAGCAGCAAAUACAGUAGAAACAGCAGCAACUCAAGUGUUAAGAUAACCCAGAAAACUCAACAAAGAUGCUUGAAACUAGUAGCUAUCAACUUCACAAAUUACCUAAUGGGUGUUUCUAUAUUUUUUUUCCCAGAGUUUUUGCACUCAAAUAAUACUCACAAAGCUCUGAAAUUUCAGCUUGCUAUAUAUAUUAAGCUGCUGAUAUUUCUCAAAGAUAUAUGUCGUUUUAGAGUGUAAAAGAUGAUCUCAAGUGAGGAAAGAGCAGCCUCUUAAAUAGGCAAAUAAAGUCACUUUUUGGACAGAUUUUGGUUCACCAAAAGUACUUUGUGUGCUAAACACUGUUCAAAGGCUGUCCAAAAGGUAAAAGGACAGUCUGAAAAUCUGCUAUGUAAGAAACAAGGAGAAAAAAUAUUAUUUCAGCCACCCUACUAGUUAAAAGUAGGCUACUAGUACCCUAUUUUAUGAUAAAAUCCAUCUAAACUUCAGAUUUUAACAACAUCAAUAACAUCCUAUUGAUUUUGAAUCAAAUCAAACUCAAACAACUACGAAUUGACAAAACAGAAACCAGAAUUCAAAUGGAACUAAAACUCAAACCGAUUUGUGCAAACUAAACAUAGAACAAAUAACAGAAUUCACAAACUAAUGCUCAAAACAGAACAAGUAUCGUUAACAAUCAGACGACGAUGUUCAACAACUAAACAAUCGAUUAACUAAGUAAACGAUUCAACUUAUACCCUAAAGAUAAUGUUUAAUCAAUAAUAGUCUAACAAAAAAUUAAACUAACUUGAAACUCUAAUUAACAACAAACAACCAAAACAGAAAAAUCAAAAAUCAGAAACUAACCUACUAAUAACUAAAAAACAAAAUCAGAAAUUAAUUAAAUAGAUGAAAAUUAUACCUAACGAGCGUGCUUGAAACUGUUCGAGCCACGAGAAGACGCCGGAGAUGCCAAGAGGCGACUGUCCGACCCCGAGACACAAGUUCCCUUUUAGCAAACACCCAAAACAAGUAAGUUUUGGCAUCAUACUAGAAGGGUACAUGAGUCUUUGGGUCGAGUGGGCUAAUAAAAAAUGAGGCAGUGGUGACCUUGGGGUGAUCGCGGCAUCGGGGGUGGUUGGCCGGCGAUGGUGCGGUUUUUGGGGGUGAAAUGGGUAGGAAAUGAUAGGUCUCGCGGAGCUCUAUCCAUUCAUGUAUGUGUUGUAGUAUGGUAGUGGCCGGAGUUUCUUUGAUUUUGGAAAAAUAGGCGGCGGAUAGAGUUUCCUAGAUCUAAAAUCAUGGAAUUUGAGCGGGUUUUGAGGGAUUUGGGUUGGAGAUUUGGAAAGAGGAGGUUGAGGUGAUUAUAUGGUGCGAUUUUGGGGCGGAUUGGAGGCGGGCCGCCGUCGGUGGGCGAUUUCCGGCGACGGAGCAGGGUGGAGGCACAGAGAGAGGGUGAGAGAGAGUGAAGAGAGAAAAAGGAGAGAAGAAGGUAAGGC